rnacentral:tRNA from 1 species
UUGUCUGUAAUUUAAAGGAAAAAUGUCCGACUUCGGAAUGGAGUAUGGGGUUUGAUUCCUCCCAGGUAAU